GCUCGUAUCGUUCAGUAUCUGUGUUCCUUCAGCAUGAAGCGCAUCACAGUCUUUGUGCUCACUGCGUUGGCGAUCGUUUCUUGUGUGAUUUUUUGACCACUUUCGCUCACCAUUUAAACUCCGAUGCUGCCUCUCAAGAUACCUCAUUAACCAACGACACGACAGAUCGAACAUCAGACGAGAUCGAAGGAACUACACCAGAGGAUGUUGAACUUUUAAGGAGAGAAGAAUUAUCUGUGUCCCAUGAAAGCGUUGAACAAUAUAAAACUGCAAAUUUAGUUCGAGUCCCCAAACGGUGCCCCGAAGGAGAAAAACAUAGUCGAAACAAAUGUGUAAAAUUAUCGAGCUUCAACAGUAACAGAUUGUGAACAGAGGUGGAACAAAUAAAUAUGAGACGAGGCCGGAUUUGGUCCAUUUUGGUCUAGCCUAAUUCUA